rnacentral:rRNA from 1 species
CACNCCGUAAACGAUGAGUGCUAGGUGUUAGGCCCUUUCCGGGGCUUAGUGCCGGAGCUGACGCAAUAAGCACUCCGCCUGGGGAGUACGACCGCAAGGUUGAAACUCAAAGGAAUUGACGGGGGCCCGCACAAGCGGUGGAGCAUGUGGUUUAAUUCGAAGCAACGCGAAGAACCUUACCAGGUCUUGACAUCCCGAUGCUAUUCUUAGAGAUAGGAAGUUACUUCGGUACAUCGGAGACAGGUGGUGCAUGGUUGUCGUCAGCUCGUGUCGUGAGAUGUUGGGUUAAGUCCCGCAACGAGCGCAACCCUUAUUGUUAGUUGCCAUCAUUAAGUUGGGCACUCUAGCGAGACUGCCGGUAAUAAACCGGAGGAAGGUGGGGAUGACGUCAAAUCAUCAUGCCCCUUACGACCUGGGCUACACACGUGCUACAAUGGUCGGUACAACGAGUUGCGAGCCGGUGACGGCAAGCUAAUCUCUGAAAGCCGAUCUCAGUUCGGAUUGGAGGCUGCA